rnacentral:ncRNA from 2 species
CAAUGUGAUUUCUGCCCA